UUUUUGGAGAGUUUGAUCCUGGCUCAGGACGAACGCUGGCGGCGUGCCUAAUACAUGCAAGUCGAGCGAACUGAUGAAGAGCUUGCUUUUGAUCAGUUAGCGGCGGACGGGUGAGUAACACGUGGGUAACCUGCCUGUAAGACUAGGAUAACUCCGGGAAACCGGGGCUAAUACUGGAUAACUUUUCUCUCCGCAUGGAGAGAGAUUGAAAGAUGGCUUCGGCUAUCACUUACAGAUGGACCCGCGGCGCAUUAGCUAGUUGGUGAGGUAACGGCUCACCAAGGCAACGAUGCGUAGCCGACCUGAGAGGGUGAUCGGCCACAUUGGGACUGAGACACGGCCCAAACU
rnacentral:rRNA from 1 species